rnacentral:lncRNA from 1 species
UGCAAGUUUGUUUGACGCACAAACUUUGAUGUUGGCCCCAGGAUAACACACCACAUCCUGGAACCCUUUCUCGUUUAAAGAAUCGACCUGUAGAAAAGAAAAGUAUAUAUCAGCGCUGAUAUAUUUUUAUCAGGAACAAAAGUAUAUGGACUACAUUAACUCAUAAGUAAAGUUGAUAUCAUUGUAAGAAAAAAAUGAGCACGAGGAGAAGGCCGGAGCGUAACAUGUGGUUAAAUUUUGUUAAGAUCAACUGCUUUUUAUUUUAUUUUCGGGAAAGAAAAUGAAUUACUCCUAUAAAGACAUGCUAUUCAAUAUUUGGAAUAACAUUAGUGCAAUAAAAAUUUUAUAAAUA